GUGUCAGCAGCCGCGGUAAGACGAGGGAUCCUAGCGUUGUUCGGAAUUAUUGGGCGUAAAGCGGGUGUAGGUGGCUAUGUAAGUCAGAUGUGAAAGCCCAGGGCUUAACCCUGGAAGUGCAUUUGAUACUGCGUAGCUUGAGUGUAGGAGAGGAUAGUAGAAUUCCUGGUGUAGUGGUGAAAUACGUAGAUAUCAGGAGGAAUACCGGAGGCGAAGGCGGCUAUCUGGCCUAACACUGACACUCAGACCCGAAAGCGUGGGGAUCAAACAGGAUUAGAUACCCUGGUAGUCCACGCCGUAAACGAUGGAUACUUGUUGUUAGAGGUAUUGACCCCUUUAGUGACGAAGCUAACGCGUUAAGUAUCCCGCCUGGGGAGUACGGUCGCAAGAUUAAAACUCAAAGGAAUUGACGG
rnacentral:rRNA from 1 species